rnacentral:rRNA from 1 species
GCACGUAGUUAGCCGGUGCUUCUUCUUCCGGUACCGUCAUCCAUCCGGGGUAUUAGCCCGGACGAUUUCGUUCCGGCCGAAAGAGCUUUACAACCCGAAGGCCUUCUUCACUCACGCGGCAUGGCUGGAUCAGGCUUGCGCCCAUUGUCCAAAAUUUCCCACUGCUGCCUCCCGUAGGAGUCUGGGCCGUGUCUCAGUCCCAGUGUGGCUGAUCAUCCUCUCAGACCAGCUACCGAUCGUCGCCUUGGUAGGCCAUUACCCCACCAACUAGCUAAUCGGACAUCGGCCGCUCCAAUAGCGCGAGGCCUUGCGGUCCCCCGCUUUCCACCGUAGUGCGUAUGCGGUAUUAGCACAUCUUUCGACGCGUUAUCCCCCACUACUGGGCACGUUCCGAUGCAUUACUCACCCGUUCGCCACUCGCCACCAGGGUUGCCCCCGUGCUGCCGUUCGACUUGCAUGUGUAAAGCAUGCCGCCAGCGUUCAAU